rnacentral:rRNA from 1 species
AACAGGAUUAGAUACCCUGGUAGACCACGCCGUAAACGAUGUCGACUUGGAGGUUGCGCCCUUGAGGCGUGGCUUCCGGAGCUAACGCGUUAAGUCGACCGCCUGGGGAGUACGGCCGCAAGGUUAAAACUCAAAUGAAUUGACGGGGGCCCGCACAAGCGGUGGAGCAUGUGGUUUAAUUCGAUGCAACGCGAAGAACCUUACCUACUCUUGACAUCCAGAGAACUUUCCAGAGAUGGAUUGGUGCCUUCGGGAACUCUGAGACAGGUGCUGCAUGGCUGUCGUCAGCUCGUGUUGUGAAAUGUUGGGUUAAGUCCCGCAACGAGCGCAACCCUUAUCCUUUGUUGCCAGCGGUCCGGCCGGGAACUCAAAGGAGACUGCCAGUGAUAAACUGGAGGAAGGUGGGGAUGACGUCAAGUCAUCAUGGCCCUUACGAGUAGGGCUACACACGUGCUACAAUGGCGCAUACAAAGAGAAGCGACCUCGCGAGAGCAAGCGGACCUCAUAAAGUGCGUCGUAGUCCGGAUUGGAGUCUGCAACUCGACUCCAUGAAGUCGGAAUCGCUAGUAAUCGUGGAUCAGAAUGCCACGGUGAAUACGUUCCCGGGCCUUGUACACACCGCCCGUCACACCAUGGGAGAGGGUUGCAAAAGAAGUAGGUAGCUUAACCUUCGGGAGGGCGCUUACCACUUUGUGAUUCCUGACUGGGGUGAAGUCGUAACAAGGUAACC